UACGGGGGGGGCAAGCGUUGUUCGGAAUUACUGGGCGUAAAGGGCUCGUAGGCGGCCAACUAAGUCAGACGUGAAAUCCCUCGGCUUAACCGGGGAACUGCAUCUGAUACUGGAUGGCUUGAGAUUGGGAGAGGGAUGCGGAAUUCCAGGUGUAGCGGUGAAAUGCGUAGAUAUCUGGAGGAACACCGGUGGCGAAGGCGGCAUCCUGGGCCAACACUGACGCUGAGGAGCGAAAGCCAGGGGAGCAAACGGG
rnacentral:rRNA from 1 species